rnacentral:rRNA from 1 species
UAGGGAAUCUUCCGCAAUGGGCGAAAGCCUGACGGAGCAACGCCGCGUGAGUGAUGAAGGUCUUCGGAUCGUAAAACUCUGUUAUUAGGGAAGAACAAAUGUGUAAGUAACUAUGCACGUCUUGACGGUACCUAAUCAGAAAGCCACGGCUAACUACGUGCCAGCAGCCGCGGUAAUACGUAGGUGGCAAGCGUUAUCCGGAAUUAUUGGGCGUAAAGCGCGCGUAGGCGGUUUUUUAAGUCUGAUGUGAAAGCCCACGGCUCAACCGUGGAGGGUCAUUGGAAACUGGAAAACUUGAGUGCAGAAGAGGAAAGUGGAAUUCCAGGUGUGGCGGUGAAAUGCGCAGAGAUAUGGAGGAACGCCAGUGGCGAAGGCGACUUUCUGGUCUGUAACUGACGCUGAUGUGCGAAAGCGUGGGGAUCAAACAGG